UGAACUACCCACUGCCUAAAGGCAGAGGGCUUCCGUCAAAUGGUUCACCAGACUAAGUAAGGAGAAACCCUUACUACGUUGGAUAGGUCACGACACCUUUGGUUGACGCACCAGGCCAUCGCUCUGU
rnacentral:sRNA from 1 species